UGGGGAAUUUUUGGCAAUGGGGGCAACCCUGACCAAGCAACGCCGCGUGGGUGAUGAAGUCUCUUGGGACGUAAAACCCUUUCGACGGGGAAGAAAACCGCAAGGUUUGACGGUACCCGUAGAAGAAGCCCCGGCUAACUCCGUGCCAGCAGCCGCGGUAAUACGGGGGGGGCAAGCGUUGUUCGGAAUUACUGGGCGUAAAGGGCGCGUAGGCGGUGCGCUAAGUCGGAUGUGAAAACUCUGGGCUCAACCCAGAGCCUGCAUCCGAAACUGGCGUGCUAGAGUUCUGGAGGGGAUAGCGGAAUUCCUGGUGUAGCGGUGAAAUGCGUAGAUAUCAGGAGGAACACCGGUGGCGAAGGCGGCUAUCUGGACAGAAACUGACGCUGAGGCGCGAAAGCUAGGGGAGCAAAC
rnacentral:rRNA from 1 species